CUGGGACUGAGACACGGCCCASACUCCUACGGGAGGCAGCAGUGGGGAAUAUUGCACAAUGGGCGAAAGCCUGAUGCAGCGACGCCGCGUGCGGGAUGACGGCCUUCGGGUUGUAAACCGCUUUCAGCAGGGAAGAAGCGAAAGUGACGGUACCUGCAGAAGAAGCGCCGGCUAACUACGUGCCAGCAGCCGCGGUAAUACGUAGGGCGCGAGCGUUAUCCGGAAUUAUUGGGCGUAAAGAGCUCGUAGGCGGUUUGUCRCGUCUGCUGUGAAAGCCCGGGGCUCAACCCCGGGUGUGCAGUGGGUACGGGCAGACUAKAGUGCAGUAGGGGAGACUGGAAUUCCUGGUGUAGCGGUGAAAUGCGCARAURUCASGAGGAACACCGAUGG
rnacentral:rRNA from 1 species